AGUCUAAGUCGAUCUAAGAAAAUAGAUAAAGGGAGGGAGGGGCAAAGCUAGUUAAUCUGGAAAGAAUCCAAGCGUCAAUUUCAAGCAUUUACAGAGAAUCAAGCGGGCUGGUUAAAGUCGUGAGUUGAGCAAUUAUCCCGCGUUAGGUUCAAUCAGAUACUUCUGGCUAGUGCAGUACCUACACGGUGGUUGUUGAAAUAGCCGCUUCUCAUCUAUUUUCCGCAGCACGGACAUCAUCCUUUGAUCCCUUACGACUAACGAAGUUUUCGAAGAUGUACGGCAGUUUGAGAUUCUACUUGAAAAUGAUCAUGAUUGCGGUCUGUGUGCCGUCUGCUCUUCUUUUUGUCCUUCCGUUAAAGACUGUUACACACGAGGACGUGUGAUAGUCAGGAUGGCCGUGUCGGAGAUGAAAGAACACCGGAGCCUUUGGAAUUUUGGAUAAUCCCGCAACAUUGUAACCUAGAGUCUACUAUAG